GUGGUGGUACAGUGGUAGAGCUUCAGCCUUUUAUACAGAAGGUCCCUGGUUCAGUCCCGAGUAUCUACA
rnacentral:tRNA from 1 species